GAUGAACGCUGGCGGCGUGCCUAAUACAUGCAAGUCGAGCGAACAGACGAGGAGCUUGCUCCUCUGACGUUAGCGGCGGACGGGUGAGUAACACGUGGAUAACCUCCCUAUAAGACUGGGAUAACUUCGGGAAACCGGGUCUAAUACCGGAUAAUAUAUUGAACCGCAUGGUUCAAUAGUGAAAGACGGUUUUGCUGUCACUUAUAGAUGGAUCCGCGCCGCAUUAGCUAGUUGGUAAGGUAACGGCUUACCAAGGCAACGAUGCGUAGCCGACCUGAGAGGGUGAUCGGCCACACUGGAACUGAGACACGGUCCAGACUCCUACGGGAGGCAGCAGUAGGGAAUCGUCCGCAAUGGGCGAAAGCCUGACGGAGCAACGCCGCGUGAGUGAUGAAGGUCUUCGGAUCGUAAAACUCUGUUAUUAGGGAAGAACAAAUGUGUAAGUAACUAUGCACGUCUUGACGGUACCUAAUCAGAAAGCCACGGCUAACUACGUG
rnacentral:rRNA from 1 species